AAAAUGCGAUAAGUAAUGUGAAUUGCAGAAUUCAGUGAAUCAUCGAAUCUUUGAACGCACAUUGCGCCCGCCAGUAUUCUGGCGGGCAUGCCUGUCUGAGCGUCAUUUCAACCCUCGGGACCCCGUUCGCGGGACCCGGCGUUGGGGAUCAGCCCUCUCCGGGGGGCUGGCCCCGAAAUCUAGUGGCGGUCCGCCAGCGAUCUCCUCUGCGCAGUAGUUGAUACCUCGCAGCUGGAUAGCGGUCGGGCCACGCCGUAAAACCCCCAACUUCUCAAGGUUGACCUCAGAUCAGGUAGGAAUACCCGCUGAACUUAAGC
rnacentral:misc_RNA from 1 species